AAUCCAUGAUGAGGCAAUCACGUUCAUACUCCUUAAAACGCUCCCAAGCUUCAUAGAAAGACUCAGUUGACCCUUGUUGAAAGGUUGAGAUCUUCGUUCUCAAAUU
rnacentral:snoRNA from 1 species